GACGAACGCUGGCGGCGUGCUUAACACAUGCAAGUCGAACGGAAAGGACCUGCUUUUGUGGGGUGCUCGAGUGGCGAACGGGUGAGUAACACGUGAGUAACCUGCCCUUGACUUUGGGAUAACUUCAGGAAACUGGGGCUAAUACCGGAUAGGAGCUCCUGCUGCAUGGUGGGGGUUGGAAAGUUUCGGCGGUUGGGGAUGGACUCGCGGCUUAUCAGCUUGUUGGUGGGGUAGUGGCUUACCAAGGCUUUGACGGGUAGCCGGCCUGAGAGGGUGACCGGCCACAUUGGGACUGAGAUACGGCCCAGACUCCUACGGGAGGCAGCAGUGGGGAAUAUUGCACAAUGGGCGGAAGCCUGAUGCAGCAACGCCGCGUGCGGGAUGACGGCCUUCGGGUUGUAAACCGCUUUCGCCUGUGACGAAGCGUGAGUGACGGUAAUGUGUAAAGAAGCACCGGCUAACUACGUG
rnacentral:rRNA from 1 species